AGGGAGACCUACUGCAUUCCCACCGAAACCCAAAAAUUAAUCGGGGGAAUCAGAUAUCCCAAGGUCGUUACGAGACUAGACAAUUUCUGGCUUUCAAACUCUUUGUUCGGUUCAGCAUCAUAUUUACGGAACUAAAACACAGCAACUUAUCUUGAGUUUUCUACAAAGAAAAUAGCAAGAAAGACUGCUGGAUUUUAACCAGCAAUGAACCUUGAAAACUGCAUAAAGAAAAGAAU
rnacentral:misc_RNA from 1 species